rnacentral:lncRNA from 1 species
CUUUAGGAGGUGAUUAGGUUAUAAGGAUUUCCCCCUCCCCCCUGAAUGCGAGUAAUGCCCUUAUAAAAGAGGCUCCAAGGAGCCUCUGGCCUCUUCCACUGUGUGAGGACACUUAGAAGGCACCAUUUAUGAGGAACAGGCUCUCACCCAACACUGAAUCUGCUCGUGCUUUGAUCUUGGCUUUCCCAGUCUCCAGAACUGUGAGCAAUAGAUUCGUAUUGUUUGUAAAUUACCCAGGCCAAGGUAUUUGUUAUAGCAGUCUGAACGGACUAAGACACAGUCUGAAUCUUUAGACCAUUACAGCACAUGCCUUUUAGUCCCUGCUCUGACACCCUGCUAUCCCCUUUUCGUGUAAGGGUGUGUCCUUCCCAGGUGCUGUGGGGGCUUAGGCCUCACUCCUGCCACCUGCUCCUGGACCCCUCUGGGAGCAGAAGCUGCCUGGCCCAGAGCUACAGUUUCUACCUCUCUGACUGCCUGUGGCCUCUGAGUGCCAGGAGGGGUGGGUGGAGAAGUGGGUGGGUGGGGUACAAAGUCCCUGCCUCCUCCUUUCCCUCUCUUCUGGUGAGCACCCUCCAAUAAACCACAUGCACGUGAAUCUCCGACUUGGCUUUGCUUCUGUGGACUCCAAACCAUGAUGUCCAUUCUGGCUGACCCUACAGAGAUGUGAGCCAUUUUUGUUUCUCCAACUCCGUGGGGACAGGGAACAUGAACCAGCAUUUUAAAAAAUCUCCUGAAGGUCAAACACAGUGUGGGAGCUCCGUGGAGUUCAGAGGCGGUGUAGACACUGGUUAGACAGUGGCUGCGUCUGCUUGGGAAAAGCCCACCUGAAUAAGAUGGUAGGUGAUGAUUGCAGUCUUCCCAGUGUGCAGGGCGGCUCACCUGUGGGUAUGGUUUGACCAGAGGUGGUCGACUGGUGGCCUGGAAGGGAGAUGCAACCCAAACAUGAAGCUGGAAAACAGAGUGGAGGCAGCUGACUGCGGCCCAGCUUUGGUGCUAAGUGGGAGAUGGGGUAGGGACAAAACGGACAUAACUAAUCAUUUCUUGGUGAUUGCAGGAAACUCUAAUAAGGGAUUGGAAAGUGAGGCAGGCGGGGGAGGAACGAAUACCAGCAUCAUUCUGCAAGUGACUGUGCUGGGGAAGAGACAAUGUGAAGAUGGUCAACUGCAAACCAGGAAGCAGGCCCUCACUGGACGCCAGAUCUGCUGAUGCCUGGAUCUUGGACUGAGCCUCCAGAACUUGGCUGCUGGAGGCAUCACCCUCUGAUUCCAGGACUUCAGCCCUAACUGGUGCACUCCUCGGUUUGGGGCAUCCUCUGGUUGAGUGGCAGGCGCUGCAGGCAGGAGCUGUGGUGUGUGUGUGAACUGUCUACAGAGGCGGCAGGUGACCCAGCACUGUCAGCUGCAGCAUCUGGCAAGGCGGACAGGUAAAGCAGUAAACCAGCAGGUGAGUGAAUGGUUGCAAUUGUAGUGGGUGCCUUGGAGGGAGCUGACUGGGAGUUGAGCACAGAAGGAGGAGCAAAGACCUCCUUCAUAUAGGGUCAUGACUCAUGCCUGCCUCCUUGUAGUAGGUGGGCACCCAGCAAGCAGAGGCUGGAACCCUCAGUCACGUGGCCCUGGGAGAGCUGUUCUGACCUUUGCCUAGAGCCUCAGUGCUAGCCGUGAGCUAGGAUGGUGAUUGCGUUCGCUUCUGAUAUGAGCUCGUUAAAAGCGCAUCAUCAGUGGCCGGGUAGGUUUCUCCAUUGCCAAGAGAUGACCUAGUGCUUGUUUAACGCCGGAAAUGAAGCUCAGCGGCAGCUCUCGGGCUGUCCUUCAGUGGCCCCUCUCAUGCCCAGGUGUGGUCUUCUGGUUGGCGUGGCUUGUGUCACCUCCCUUGUACCCUCUUGAGGUCCACACAGUGCACCUGCUUUUGUCUGCCACGGGGGAGAGGAGGAGAGGCAGAUCCUUCUGUGCCCUCUGCUCUUGAUCUUUUCUGCUGUGGGGUUGGAGGGUGGUCUUAGCUCAGGGGCUGGUUGCUGUGUCCUCUCCUGAGCUUAACUUGCCCCUGGGUUCCUUUUUCUUACAGAUGGAACUUAACAAGAAGAAGCUAAGGAAGAGAAGAGGAGAGAGAGGAGAGGAGAGAGACAGUGAAGAGGCUGGAAAAGGAGAAAGAGAAAUAUGUUUUUUGGAAUCAAAGUGUUACUUGGAUUCUUACCCAGGAUUUUCCUAUUGUCUCAGGAUCUAAAGGGAAAAGACCAGCCAUGGUGUAUGUGAGCCUCUGGGAAAUCUGCCUCAAGCCCAUAACGCCAUGCAUCUACAGCAGUUGGAACAGCUUAAGAGUCAGACCUCUCUAGAUCCCAAGCGCUGCAACAUGAAUAACAAAACCAAGGUUAAGCCACAGACCACGCCCCGUGGAGAUUUCGCUGCUUCCAGCCUGACCAUCAGGAUUCGGGUCCUGACCGCUCCCCUGGCUGUUGGGCUGGUCCCAGCUCUUGGGCCUUGGUUUUCUCACCCACAGAAUGGGGACAAUACAGGACCUCCCUCAUCAGAGCUGUCACAAGUGCUAAGUGAACGGGUUCUUGUGAAGCCCUACAGUGCCUGGCACAGACCAAGGGCCCCACCGAUAGUGGCUGUGAGUUUUCCCACGAAUGUAUUUUUUGAUAUGUAACAUUUUAAAAUAAAAUUUUCUCUUUUCUUUUUUUCCUUCUCCUUUUGGAACCUCAAUUUCCUGAUUCCCUAAGCUCAUGUCUGGUGCUGACUAUUAUCCUAGUGCUGAACUCAAGCUUUCCUCAUAGCUCCUCAGAGCAUUUGAGAAUAACUGUGUGUUUCUGCACCCAGAACAUAUUUGUGAAACCAGUCAGGAUACAUGGUUCAUGAAGCAUUAAUAGAAGAUGUGGUUCUCAAACUUGAGUGGGGCUCAGGGUCCCCUGGGGGACUUGUGAACACACAGAUUUUGGAUCUCCCCAAGGUCUCUGAUGUCGGAGGUCUGGGUGGGGUCCUGGAGUUUGUUUUUCUGGCCAGUGCCCAGGUGGCCAGAACCACUUUUGGGAACCACACUUUGAGAACCACUGGCACAUAGUAAGGAGGCCUCUUCCAGAGACCACCGGCGAAGCCACUGUCCUGAAAGGUAAAGAACAUUUGUCCAGGGGAUGUGUUAAUGAAAAGAGCUUAAGAAUCAGACAAUAAGACCAAACGACCAUGAAGUGCUUCAAGAGUGCAGCAGUGAUUUUGUUCCAGCUGGGGCAGGAAAACCUGGGGAGGCCCUGCGGUGAGGAACCAUUUGGACUGGGCGUUGAUGGAUGGCUGAGCACUGCUUGGUGCUGGCCCUGCAAGUGCGAUGUGGUGGGUCCUGUGUCCCACCUUGAAUCUGUGUUUCAUCCUUGAAUAUGGUGGCUUGUGGCUGCUUAGACCAGUCAUCAAGGCCAGUACACACUAAUACCCUGGGUACAAUGCCCAGGACCUAUGCUUCUAAUGCCCUUGAAUAUAUUUUAAAAUCAGAAGGAAAAAUGAAUACAAUAAUAAAGAAUAUGCAACAAUGAAUCUAGACUGGAUUAUAUUCACCUUUAUAC